ACGCAAUUAACCUUCUCAUUACAUAAUCUAGAUCAUGAGUUUCUACUACAUGCAUUGUUCAUGGUAAUGUAUAAACAUCCAAUGCUCGUAUAAGCUAACCAGAAAAGAAAAAAAGUAACAGUAGCAUUUUUGAUAGUGAAGGUCACUCGUUUUCUUGCACCUUAAUUUCUUUUUGUGGUAUGUUUAUAUUCAUGGAAUCACGGGUGGUCACUGACACUCCCUGGUCAUUCGCCUCCAUCCUCAUUUCUAUUGGUUGAUAUGUUAAUUCGUGGAUUUCCCAGCAUGAACUAGGGAAAUGCGGUGGUACUAUUAAACCAAGUGACAAAUAAGGUUGUGGAAGGCUCAUUCCAGUUAUCACUUGCACUAGGUGAUAGUUGGUCACAUGCUUGCACAGAUCGUGUAAUUUUGUACUGGAACGGGAACCAGCGGUAUGCAUAUAUUGACAAGUCACCCUCGUUGUGGUCAGCGUCAGCUCUGUAUUCUGUGACAGGUAAAGGGAUACGCGAUUCUACUUCGCAUUGUAAAAGAACUAGAAUGAUGUAGUCCAGUGUACAGACUUUCUAUGUUGUUUCAUUGUUUCCACAAGUAAUUAUAGUAUAUCGAGUGGAGGAUGGUGAGAAACCAAUAGGGACCCCAAUUUUUUUAACGAUUUUGGUUUAUGCAACCUUCGGGUUGCAUCUUGGGGCACAUAAUUUUGAGAAAUUAAACACUAGGAGAUGAAACAGUAGAAUUUGUUGUUAUCCAUGAAUACAAUAAUUCAACUGUAGUCGGUCGAUGAUGCUCUUGAAAGCUUGGUGUGUAGAUUUGGCGAAGCUGAAUUCCAUCCUGGUCC